AUACGUAGGUGACAAGCGUUAUCCGGAUUUACUGGGCGUAAAGGGCGUGUAGGCGGUCUUGCAAGUCAGAAGUGAAAUUCCUGAGCUCAACUCGGGCGCUGCUUCUGAAACUGCAGGACUUGAGUGCUGGAGGGGAUAGCGGAAUUCCUAGUGGAGCGGUAAAAUGCGCAGAUAUUAGGAAGAACACCGGUGGCGAAGGCGGAUUGUGGGACUGUAACGGACGUUAAGGCGCGAAAGCGUGGGGAGAAAACAGGAUUAGAUACCCGGGUAAUCCACGCCGUAAACGAUGAAUACUAGGUGUAGGGGGUAUCGACUCCCUCUGUGCCGCAGUUAACACAAUAAGUAUUCCGCCUGGGGAGUACGGCCGCAAGGUUGAAACUCAAAUGAAUUGACGGGG
rnacentral:rRNA from 1 species